UACGAGAGGCCCAAACGUUAUUCGGAAUUACUGGGCUUAAAGAGUUCGUAGGCGGCGCAGAAAGUAGGGUGUGAAAGCCCCCGGCUCAACUGGGGAGGGUCAUUCGAUACUGAUCGACUCGAAGGCAGGAGAGGGUAGUGGAAUUCCCGGUGUAGUGGUGAAAUGCGUAGAUAUCGGGAGGAACACCAGUGGCGAAGGCGACUACCUGGCCUGUUCUUGACGCUGAGGCGCGAAAGCUAGGGGAGCAAACGGG
rnacentral:rRNA from 1 species